rnacentral:rRNA from 1 species
AGCGAACGCUGGCGGCAGGCUUAACACAUGCAAGUCGAGCGGGCACUUCGGUGUCAGCGGCAGACGGGUGAGUAACGCGUGGGAACGUGCCCUUCGGUUCGGAAUAACUCAGGGAAACUUGAGCUAAUACCGGAUACGUGCGAGAGCAGAAAGGUUUACUGCCGAAGGAUCGGCCCGCGUCUGAUUAGCUAGUUGGUGAGGUUAUGGCUCACCAAGGCGACGAUCAGUAGCUGGUCUGAGAGGAUGAUCAGCCACACUGGGACUGAGACACGGCCCAGACUCCUACGGGAGGCAGCAGUGGGGAAUAUUGGACAAUGGGGGCAACCCUGAUCCAGCCAUGCCGCGUGAGUGAUGACGGCCUUAGGGUUGUAAAGCUCUUUUCUCCGGGACGAUAAUGACGGUACCGGAGGAAUAAGCCCCGGCUAACUUCGUGCCAGCAGCCGCGGUAAUACGAAGGGGGCUAGCGUUGCUCGGAAUCACUGGGCGUAAAGGGCGCGUAGGCGGCUGAUUUAGUCGAGGGUGAAAGCCCGUGGCUCAACCACGGAAUGGCCUUCGAUACUGGUUGGCUUGAGACCGGAAGAGGACAGCGGAACUGCGAGUGUAGAGGUGAAAUUCGUAGAUAUUCGCAAGAACACCAGUGGCGAAGGCGGCUGUCUGGUCCGGUUCUGACGCUGAGGCGCGAAAGCGUGGGGAGCAAACAGG